ACGACAGUGGAUUGCGGCCUAACACAUGCAAGUCGAGGGGCAAAAAGAAGUCAGCUUGCUGACUUUGAUGGCGACCGGCGCACGGGUGAGUAACGCGUAUCCAACCUACCCCAUAGUAGGGCAUAGCCCGUAGAAAUGCGGAUUAAUACCCUAUGUUUUCCGAAGAGGACAUCUGACUUGGAACAAAGAUUCAUCGCUAUGGGAUGGGGAUGCGUCCGAUUAGCUUGUUGGCGGGGUGACGGCCCACCAAGGCGACGAUCGGUAGGGGUUCUGAGAGGAAGGUCCCCCACACUGGUACUGAGACACGGACCAGACUCCUACGGGAGGCAGCAGUGAGGAAUAUUGGUCAAUGGGCGAGAGCCUGAACCAGCCAAGUAGCGUGCAGGAAGACGGCCCUACGGGUUGUAAACUGCUUUUAUCAGGGGAUAAAAGUGUGGGACGCGUCCCUCAUUGCAGGUACCUGAUGAAUAAGGACCGGCUAAUUCCGUGCCAGCAGCCGCGGUAAUACGGAAGGUCCGGGCGUUAUCCGGAUUUAUUGGGUUUAAAGGGAGCGCAGCGGGUGCUUAAGCGUGCUGUGAAAUGUACCGGCUCAACCGGUGACGUGCAGCGCGAACUGGGUGCCCUUGAGUGAGUGCGAGGUAUGCGGGAAUUCGUGGUGUAGCGGUGAAAUGCUUUAGAUAUCACGAAGAACCC
rnacentral:rRNA from 1 species